rnacentral:rRNA from 1 species
AUUCACGCUGGCGGCAGGCCUCACACCUGCCAGUCGAGCGGAUGAAGGGAGCUUGCUCCUGGAUUCAGCGGCGGACGGGUGAGUAAUGCCUAGGAAUCUGCCUGGUAGUGGGGGAUAACGUCCGGAAACGGGCGCUAAUACCGCAUACGUCCUGAGGGAGAAAGUGGGGGAUCUUCGGACCUCACGCUAUCAGAUGAGCCUAGGUCGGAUUAGCUAGUUGGUGGGGUAAAGGCCUACCAAGGCGACGAUCCGUAACUGGUCUGAGAGGAUGAUCAGUCACACUGGAACUGAGACACGGUCCAGACUCCUACGGGAGGCAGCAGUGGGGAAUAUUGGACAAUGGGCGAAAGCCUGAUCCAGCCAUGCCGCGUGUGUGAAGAAGGUCUUCGGAUUGUAAAGCACUUUAAGUUGGGAGGAAGGGCAGUAAGUUAAUACCUUGCUGUUUUGACGUUACCAACAGAAUAAGCACCGGCUAACUUCGUG